UAGGGUGUGGGAGUCAAAUAAUACACUGUAAUUGAGUCUGUUGCCACUGUGUUGCUCACCCCCUCUCUCUCAUUGUGGCGGCAAUCUUUCACCACCGGUUUCUCUCCUUCUGAAGGCUGUUAGUUUCUGUCUUUCAGUUUUCUCCUCUAAGUACUCCUUCUUCUGUUCGUCACUUUACUCUAUAUUAUCCUUUAUGUUUUCUGCUUUUGCAAAGGCUACUUAUGAUCGUAUCUAUUUAUGUACAGAGCCCACUGUGUGUGAACCCCUAAAAACAGGGUCUGCUCAGUGUCAGGUUGUGAGAUGGGGUUAUGUUAGGUCAUAUAUCAUUACGUCCGCCAAGGACGUUAUGUUUUCGGUAGCGUUGGUUUGUUUGUUUGUCUGUUAGCAACUUUACGGAGAAAGUAACAGACGGAUUGACCUGAAAUUUUCACCAGAGGUGCAUCUCAGCCCCAGGAGGAUCCCAUUACAUUUUGGUGGUGAUCCAGACAAAAUUCUGGAUACUGUGAUCCAGAACACACAAAAAUAAGGGUGUCGUUGGAAUUUUCAAUGGUUAAAGAUAAAGAAUGGGCGGCACAGUGGUGUAGAUAGGCAGCACAGUGGUGUAGUGGUUAGCACUGUCGCCUCACAACCAGAAGGUCCUGGGUUUGAAUCCCAGUCAGGGCAAUCAUGUUGAAAAUGACAUGAUGAAAUGUAGCAGACAUGACACCAUUUUAGGGGAUGUGAUUUUUCCGAUACUAUCUGAAAUUGACCCUCUAAUGCAAACACUACUUUUGCACAAACCGAGUAUGACAUGAAAACGAGAGAGAGCUUAGAGACGCAGCACAGCACUGAUCAUUUGCACAACAAUGGACCCUAAAUACGGCCUAUUUAUAGUCAUGGAUACAAAAGGUGGGCGGUCCUGAAUAGUGGCUGAGGGUAAAUUAGCAGAAACACACUGAGAGGCAAAAAUGGACAAAAGCUUCCUAGACCACCACUAUCUUUGAUUGUGUUCUGUGUGAAAGGGUCUCAAUGAGUGCUCAAGGCCUCUUGGGGGUUUCAGUGCGCUUAUACUAAAGGUCCUGUCACUGUAUCGCAGGGUGCAUAUUAAUACAAGGUUAAAACAGGCCAUUAUUACUUCAACUACUUAUAUAUGUAAAUGUCCAUUAUGCACUUUGUAUAAUAAUUCAGAUCUUUGUGUUCACUCCUCAGAGUGUAGGCAUGAACAUUACAUUUGCAAUUAUACUAUAUAUGUGGGCUUGAAUAUAGAAUCAGUGCAGAAUUAGUCACUGCUUUGAAAUCACGUCUUAAAAAUCAUUUUUAUAGACUUGCUUUUAUGUGAUUUUGUCUUUUUAAUAGCUUUUACCCUUCUUAUUCUAUUCUUGUUUUUGUGGUUGGGUUCCUGUGUUGGCAGGGUAUCACAGUACUUAUGAUGUCUUUGUUUUAAUGACGUCUCAGCUCAUGUGACACUUAGCAAUGCUUUUAUGUCUUCAAUUCCACCUCUUAGUCAGUCCUACACGACGCUAUGUUUCAUGUUUGGGGAAGUGAUGACGAGAAAGGGAAGCUUGCUCUGAUUGGAUAGAAAGGGUCCAAAUAUGACCAACUCCAGGUCUGACGUGCUUAUAACCACGGUCAACACCCCAUUUAUGCAGUUUUAUGUGGAUGGGAUUUUAUUUGAAAACAAUGACGUGUGUGCGUGACGGAGGUGGUUAGAUAUCCGUUUAAAAAAAUACCCAGCUACAUGUGUGCAAGGUCCACAUGUAUACCUCAUGUAUACUACAUAAGGCCUCAUAUUCGGGCCACUAAGAACUACUUUCUUAAAGGUGGGGUAGGCAGGAAUCCGUUACAGAAGCAUCUUUUUUUGUGGUGUAUAUACAAAAAAGUUUACAAUAUCAGUCAGUAGCUAUUAGUCAUUAAUGACAUUUGGUAAUAUCACAAUAUCGCUAUGUUUUGUUAAGUCUGUGUAGUCAACAUUUUAAACUUUCAGAGCGCUCCGCUCUUUCUCACUGUAAACAAAGCCAUUCCUCGCCUCCCUCAUCCUGAUUGAUUGUGAGGCGGAUGUUGCUCCCCCUUGUCGUUCAUGAGCCCAAACAAAGUUAGCAUGCUACAAUAUUGGAGGGUAGAAACCAACCAGAAAGUACAGAAAAUUGUCUGAAUCCUCCUUUGGCCACGACUGCCAACAUGAGCAAGAAAACAAAGUAAAUACUGGAGACUAUGGCGGAAUAACAGGCGCUUAAAAAGGAGGUAGACCGGACAAGAGCUAAAAAAAGUCCGCUCAACAAUGAUGGGGGACGCUUUGGGAUUUUAUGGACCCUGUAACCUUUCUGCUGGACAGGUAAACCGCUUUAACAAAGUAAGCCAAGUGUCUGUAACAGAAGUGUUUCUUGUCAAACGGGACCUGCUGUAGCAUGUUGUAGCGCCGCUAAACUGUUGACCUCGGGUCCUGGACUAUGUCACUUUAUCCUAGUUGUAGAAGUCCUGCAAACAUUGUAUUUGUUGGUAGUCUGUUGGCAUCUACAGUAGCACCAAUGCUUUUUAACUUUCACGUUGACUGGGCCUGAUUUGUAAUUAUCUGAAGUAUUUAUCUGCAUUAUAUCUGAAUUUAAUUAAACGAUACAAGUGAGCAGGAGCGUCUGUUUGUGGGCGGGGCUUGCUGGAGCAGAGAGGGAGGGGAGAGGAGGAGCUGAGGGGAAAACUGGUUGGUAGGGGUAGAGUUUACAUUCAAGAUUUCUCCCCAAAAUUGGCACUUCCUCAGAUCCUGCCUACCCCACCUUUAAUUCCAGUCAUCUUAUUUGUAUGACUGGAAAAUGAUAAUCGACAAAUGAUCAGGAGCAGAUGUCUUUCAAUGUGAUCUAUCUUUAAAACGAUGACGCUGGAGUAGCUUCAAACAUUUCCCUCAGCAUGUCCUGUAAAUACAGUUUUAAUUGGGUCAAAACUCAAGAUCUCAACUGAAUGUCUGUCUGUAUAAUCGGGCUGCGACCUCGAUUAUCUCACUUUGAAAAUUUACUUCAUAUUGAAGCGAGUGAUGCUGACAGACUAGAUAUGCUACCCAGUCUGUAUUUGCUAUUAUACUGUGGCCUACUUACAAAUCAUCAGCUGUGUAUUGCUGUAUUUGAAAGGCAGGCGAUAUGAUUGUGCCAUUCACGACGAAAAUUAAACUUUUGCAACUUUAGACUGCCUCUUCAUAAUGAAAACUUUACCAAAAUGAUCUGACAUGUCCUGAUUUGACACACCUCGCCAAUCUGAGCACUAAAGAUAAUUUGCAACUACUGAAGCCCUGAUCUCCCUGUGUGAGACGUCUAAUCAAAACAUAGUCUCCAGAGUGUGAACAAGUACGGGAGACUAUAAAUAAACCCCGACCAAACUGCCUGUCUUUCUUCAAACACAGCUGAGGCUGCGAUCAGGCAAGCGUGUCCAAUCUAGAGCGCCUAGGCGAUGCAAACAUCUUUUGAGGAUGACAUGUCAGUCAAACGAACGGGAAAACAAUGGAGAGAGAUGAGGCAUGGAGGAGAUUGACUGGUGGAGGUGUCAUUCAAUGCACAUACACACACAUGUACAGGACACAACUGUGCACAUGAGGAAAUGUGUAUAAUAAUAAUAAUAACUUUGUUGAUAUGGCACUUUUAAAGACAAGAGUUUACAAAGUGCUUUAACAUGCAGGAAGACAAAGAAAGAUAAAAACAACAAAACAACAACAAGAGAAAACUUGAGGGAAAGAGCCUAGACAAGACUAAAACCCAGACUACAUAUCCUAAUGUGACAUUAGUGGCAAUUAAGAAAUAAAAUUAAAUAAAUUAAGCAUCAUUUUGGAGUAUAAAGUCAACAAGACACAAGUAAGGUGGAGGAAGGCUAUUUGGUGUAGAAUAACCAACUGCAAAACACUCCUUCUCCUUUCCUCUUCACUUAAAUAUAUACUCUGUGUAUAUCUGUGCUGUCCACUGCCUGACAUAGACAAGGGUGCAUAGUAUAGGACGUUUAUCUGUUACCCCCAAUUUCCACUGCAAAGGUCUGAUCAGCUCCGCCGAUUGCAGCUGAUCGUAACCAUUCAAGUUAAUGUGUCAAUUUCCACCGGCUUCUUUCCGUUCCUCAGCUGAUCGCAAAACUUCUAUUGUUUCUGGACGCCUCAGCAUGCCACAUAAAUUCAGCACAGAUUAACCCGCGCUGGAAAGGAAGUCGGGCACAGACACAAAAUAAAACAUCCGGCUUCUUUUCAAAAUAAAACACUACGUGUUUAAGGUGGAUCAUAUUUUGCGCCAUGCAAACAGUCGGGGACGAACAAGUCAAAGGUUUUCAGACUUCAUUUCACCUCAUUGACACCAUGGAUGAGGAGAUGCUGAUUCUAGAAGUCUAGAAGUAGAUUUCCUCCUCUGGAAGGACACAGUCUUUGGCAUACAUGGUUAUGUGGCUGUCUUUAUAGAGACAACUCGUUAUCGCACAAUUGCACGUGACUCCGUGGGUUCUUGUGAGUUCUUGCAAUUCCUGCUGUCCGAAAUCCACCACGAAAUUUGUCUCACAAACUGAUUUGGUAGGAAUUGGCAGACGGCAAAAAUAGCCGCAGUUUUAGAUCAUAGCCAUUCCAGAUGCGGCGGUGGGGUUAGUUGUUGCGGACAAUGACGUUUGGGGAUUUAAAACUCCGGUUAUUUACGUCCACAAGCAAAAGUAAAACCUGAAGUUUUCUAAAACCUAAAUUUGGCUGGAGUUUUUCAAAAGCACUGUUUUUAAUAAUCCCGUGGUUUUGUGUGGAUGGCACGCCAAAACGUAUGAAAAUAUGUUCAUUUUGGCAAAUACCCAGCUACAAGCGGACAAGGCCUGAGACAACCUGAUCACGAGAUGACCCUCCCUUUAAAGGAUUACUCAAAAGAAUGAUAUGAAUUCUGUUAUAACAAGGAAAACAUACACAGUAUAUUUCAAGCUUUCAUUAGUUUGCCUUUCUACAAACUUAACCUAUCAAGAAAUUCUGAAAAAUGUCCCUGUUAUUACUAUUACCACAAAAAAACACUAUGUUAUUUAUGAACAUACUGAGGCAUGCUGGGAGAGAGGAAGAGUAGGAGACAUGGACAGGUGGACAAAAGCGGCUUACAGAUAGCAACCUACCUGUGAGGGAUACUUUCUGGUCAUAUCUUUGAGUGACAACCGGGAGAAGUACACACAGACACACACAUACACAUAUGCUCAGACAGUCAUUCAGGGGUCUGUGAUAAGGUAAUCCAUUUACUGGUGAGGGCCGGUUUCCUGCUAUCAUUCUGAAUGAUGGAGACUGGCUUUCAUCUCUCAGCCCUACCACUACCACACACACACACACACACACACACACACACACACACACACAUUUUAUCAUUUCAAAGGUUUAAUUAGCUUAUGAAUAUUCCCAGGCAGUGAGAAGAAUCCCCCCCACCCCCAAAUAGAUAAGCGGUUAAAUGUUUUCACUCAACCAGAGGUCAAAUGUGAUGCAGUUCAUUCUCAAAUUCUCAAAAAACUUAUUUUAUCUAACAUGCUGUUUUUUUUUCCCUUCUUUUUUUUCUCAAAAGUGGUAACCCAGAUUUAUGAAUAUUUGCUCAGGUAAAAUUACACUGUCGUUCAAACAGAUUUAGCAAUCACAGAAUAAGGAAAUUAACUUGUGACUUGAUUAAGGGGGCUUUCACACCUUUGUUGUUUGGUCGGGACUUUUGGACUUUUCUGUUUAGUCCAAAACAAAAUGAUAGGUGUGAAACCUCCCAGGGACCUUAGUCUGACCAAAAGAGGUGGUCUCGGUCUGGACCAAAUUAGACCUAUGGCCUAGGCCGUCAUGGUGCCAGGAGCACCAAUCCCUCAAGCACCGGACCCUUCAUGUUCUUCCAGCAGGUGGUGGGUCCACUGGAGGGGGUGCCUAUGUGGCUUGUUCGGGCUGGGCCUGGCCGGGCUCCAUGGGUGCAGGCCUGGCCACUAGGCACUCGCCAAAGAGCCCCAACCCUGGGCCGGGUACACUGGUUCCCUUUUUUCUUCUUCAUGAGGGUCCUCUGAACCGUUCUUAGUCUGACCCUUCGCCUAGGACCAAUGCCAUGGGAGACCCUACCAGGGGCAAAAUGCCCCAGACAGCAUAGCUCCUAGGUUCAUUAGAGCACGCAAACUCCUCCACCAUGGUAAGGUGUAGGUUCAAGGAGGAAGGUUUAAUGAAGUUCAGGCAAAGGUCGGUACACAAAAAGGCAGUCAGGUCAGGCAGAGGUAUCAAAAACAAGAGGCAAAAAGGCAAGGUCCGAAAAGGCUGAAAAAUACUGAAAAAUAAAAGAGAAACUUGAUCAACAUGACAAAAGGCCUGAUUGAUGUUGUGAAACUGUAAUAGUUUUGUUUUUCAAGGCACUAAAUCAAACCAGUAUGGUGCAGAAAACCAUGAUGGCUCUAGAAAAUUGAAUACACCUCACGUCACUUCACAUAGUUUGACUUGAGAAGACACUUGAGCUAACCUGUCAGAGAAGUAGAACUUCUGACAUUAGUAUUUAAUAGUUGAAAUCUUUAAAAUAAGGCCAUGGUCCAUCUGUCUUCGCAUGUGUAUGUGCUCUAAUGAGCUCCACAGAGCUACUGGUUGUUUUGAUGUUUUAUUCUAUUGUUUAUUCUAUUGAAGUCUGGAGCAUCUGGCAAUAUUCCACAUCCCUCUUUUUGGUGCUUUCUGUGUUCGCCCGAAUCUCUGUUUUUUGUUUGCCUCUUUCUUUCUCUUAAAAUAAUCAUGCAAAGGCACAAAAAUUUGUUAAUUAUUUUUCUUAAUGUUUUGACAUGGGAGCCAAAUGACUAAUGCUCCAGUUAUUGUCUCAGAGGAAAUCCAAAUCAACAAACAAGGACCUGUUUCAGAGAAUCGCAGAAAAAAGCAGCCUGCAGCUUGAUCUCCUGGUAAUUCCUCAAAAAUCCUUGAAGACACGGUGAACGUGGUUUCAUCAUUCUGUUUGAAUAUUUGUUUGGGAAAACCCACUUAAGCAAAUAUAAAGCAACAAACCCUUUGAAGACUGACUGUCAACCCUGAAGGUAAACAGAACAGAGAAAAACAUAUUCAAAGUGUUCCUGACUUUGUUCAUAAUUUAAGGUUUUUGGAGUUCAAUUAAAUCUGAAUAUAUCUCUGCUUUAACCCCAUUCUGUAAAAUUCUUUUGAUAUAUUUUUGACAUGUUUCACAAUUAUUUUUUAAGCCAAAGCUUGGUAUUAGAUUAUUCAUGAGAGUGGCCACAUUAGCGUCGUGAGAGAAACAUUAUUUAUGGUGUUGAAUACUGUGGAGAGUCUUUGACAUUUUAACAUUACAGGGAGAAACAGGGCUAUACUUGGAGCAGCCAGCCCAUGUAAACAACAUAAAUGUCUGAUUAUGGGGCAAUUAUCUGAUUAUUAAGAGCAUGUGAACAUUGUCAUUGUCUUGUCCUGCUUCCCCUUCAUUUACAACUGCAAUGCCUGUGAUUAGAUCUUUAAAAUUAGCUUGAAAUGACGACUCUCGCAAGCAAACAACAACUUCUCUUAGAAACACAGUGUGAGCCGCAAAUAGAAACCUACACAGUUCAAUGUGACUGUGCCUCAAGAGGUGGCUCACCUGUGGUUCAUGAAGGAGUCAGGAACCCCAGACUCAACCUAAACCUGUGUAUAAUUAUGAAAACAACAACAGAGCUGGGCACAUGUUUGCUUUCUUUUUUUAUUAUUAGCCUGAAAUAUGGACAUUUAUUUUGAAAAAUUACAAAACUUAAACAUCGAACUUACAUUUAUCUUCAGAUGUGUGCAUGCUCUGAGAUACCGCUGCAUGCAAUGCUGUGUGCAGCUGUAUAAAUACAGGAGCUAUGCCAAGUGUCCAUGCCUCCCACCUCAUCAGGAGUAAACACAAUUUCUAUUUAAAGUCCUUGAACUAGAUCUCAUCCUCAUUUAUCCCCCAAAGACUUUGCUCUCUAAAGACUGUCCAACAUUCCACACGCGUAUAAGGGAUUGUAUGAUACAGAUCCAAGUGAGCUGACGGUAUCUGCAAAGCAAAUGCUGGUCAAGUGUUCCUACAUAUAACAUAACCAAUUUUUACUGCUAAGGAAAAAAGUUCUUAAAACCACUUUUCAAACUUUUUUUUCAUGGGUUCAAUCAACCUUUUUAAGAAAUAUGUGUGUUCCUGCUCUUUUACCACAGUUUCCAUGUAUAAUCAAUUUUCAGAUGGUUCAACUAUCUAAGGUUUAAACUUGUUUAAAGCUCCUGUGGGGAGUUUUUUGACAUCUAAGAAAUAAACUGAAAUGUAUACAAAUUUUCUUUUAAGAAAUUCAAAAACAUGCAAAAUAAUCAGCGACAUGAUUGAUGAUUUUUAUUAGGUGUUUUUUAAUGCCUGAAACCAGUGGGAAAGGGGGUAGGUUUCAGCUGAGCGACUGGACGUUACAUUUUCUACACAACAUUUUUACAGCUAACAAUAUUUGACAGUCAAAUGUCAUUUUUUAAAUUUUUGUCAGACACUAAUAAGCAUUUAGAGAACAAGAUAAGCUGACAUUAUGUCUACAGGGGGGGACAAAAUUGACACAAUCUUACAGUUCCUCACAGGAGCUUUAAAAAGUGAUUCAUAAGACCUUCUUUCAAGUCUAGAGCUGACAGAUUUCCACUGAAACAAGUCGUUGAAAUUAACUACUUACUUGGUUGCACGUAUUUUACAGUAUAGGGGAAAAUGUUUGAAGCUAAGAGGUUAUUACUUUACUACAAAGUGUCAUUCAAAAAUGGGCACCGUGGCCCGAGUCGUACCUAUUUGCUUAGCUGUUAGCUAGCUAAAUUUCCUUAAUCUGCGUGGAGCUGUAGAACAGUACCAGACUCAGCAGCACUGAUGGUAAUUAAAGACUACCACUCAAUCUUAAAGCUAUAGAGCGUAACUUCUAUCGCCCUGCAUUAGUACAACAACACAGCCAGCACUUCAAUAUGACGAAUGGCCUGGUGGUGAUAUUUUUUUUUUGUAGGACAGUAGGGGAAAUUCCCACCUCCUUUGCCUCUGAUUGGCUAGAAAAGCUGGAAACGUGCUCAAGCCAAACGCAGGCUGUUGGCUCUGUACAUUGAACGGAACAUAAUCGCACUUCUGAAUCUCCUAACCCUAACCCUAACCUUAACCCGGCAGAUGAUAACCC